rnacentral:rRNA from 1 species
CCUACGGGGGGCAGCAGUGAGGAAUAUUGGUCAAUGGUCGGGAGACUGAACCAGCCAAGCCGCGUGAGGGAUGAAGGUACAGAGUAUCGUAAACCUCUUUUGUCAGGGAACAAAGGCGGGGACGUGUCCCCGGAUGAGUGUACCUGAAGAAAAAGCAUCGGCUAACUCCGUGCCAGCAGCCGCGGUAAUACGGAGGAUGCGAGCGUUAUCCGGAUUUAUUGGGUUUAAAGGGGGCGCAGGCGGUCUGUUAAGUCAGCGGUAAAAGCCCGGGGCUCAACCCGGGCCCGCCGUUGAAACUGGCAGUCUCGAGUUGGAGAGAAGUAUGCGGAAUGCGCGGUGUAGCGGUGAAAUGCAUAGAUAUCGCGCAGAACUCCGAUUGCGAAGGCAGCAUGCCGGCUCCACACUGACGCUGAGGCACGAAAGCGUGGGUAUCGAACAGGAUUAGAUACCCCAGUAGUC